rnacentral:rRNA from 1 species
CACCGCGGUUAAACGGGCAGCCCAAAUUGAUAGCCAUCGGCGUAAAGGGUGGUUAUGAACUUAACUAAAAUAAAGUCAAAUGCCUUCAAGACUGUGACACGCACCCGAAGACAAGAAAGCUCAACUACGAAAGUGACUUUAAGAACUCUGACCCCACGAAAGCUGUGACA